GACUUUUUUCUCCAUUUGUUUUAGAGGUCAUUGAUGAUUCUUCAGCAAGUGAAUGUGCUGGUCAAUCGUGAUGCUUGUUUCUCCAAGAAUAAAGCUUAACUGUUGCAUUUUUUGCUAACAAAUGUACAAUGUUCAGCACCUGAAACUCUACUGAAAGAAGAAAUCCAGUAGACUUUAAUUUAAUUAUUAUCUGGAUAAAUCUUUGGAUUGUUUGUUUGAUAUACAGAAUGAUAAAUAUAUUACUUGUUUAUCUAAAGAAAUACUGAUGUGCAUGAAGAGGAAAGAUGUAUCUCUCGAGAGUACAGGUAAUAAAAUCAAAUCCGUUAAAAAAUUUCAAACAUCGUUUAAAGUUCAGACACUAUAAAAACUAUCAAUAUCGGUUGGAGUGGUCGAAAUAAAUGUGACAGUAAAGACCAUACGUAUUAUUAUUAUCGUAUGAGAAAGAUUAAAACAUGAAAGCAAAGAAGAGGGAGUAUAAGUUAGGAGGAAGAAGAAGAAGUGGAUGAAGAGAAACUCUGUAACUUGAUGUCACUGCUGUCAGUCUUUUUCCUUAUGUCUCGGUUGCUUCAAUUUCCUCAUCUCUUUUACCCCCUCUUUCCGGGUUUUCUCAUCAAACCUCGACUUGUCACCUGUUAUCCAAACUAUUCCCGCCAUUCUCAUUAUUAUCGUAGCUGCAACCAGCUGUUAUCCAUUUUUCUUCUCCAUACUCCAACCAACUCACAGUAACUCUAAGUAAAGCGAAUCUCUUGGCUGCCUUCUCCUCCUCUCUUGCCUCACCACUUGAAGCUCCUUCACUCUUUGGAUCGGCCUUCACUCGGUCGAAGGCGAAGAAGGCCGCCAGAGUUCCGGCGGAAGCGCCUACUCGUGUUCCAAAAAAGACUUUUUUGCUACCAAACACAAAAUCAUUUUUAUUUGGGUUGAAAUUUAUUUACAAUUAUUCAGUCAAUUAGACUUGGAUAUUGAACUGGAAAAAAAUAUUUUUGAAUUAAAAUAAAACUUUUUAUUGGGGGGAUAAAUAGUUAGAAGGGAGAGGGAGAGAGAGUGUUGGUGAGUUGUCAAAAGUUUUCUCUAGUCUCUCACUUUCUCUCUCGGUCUCUUAACCAAGACCUAGAGGGAUUAUCAACGGCCUGUCUUGUGUUCACAAGUUCUCUUAAAGAUUAUCACGUAAAAGGAUCGUCGAUCCUUGUUCCCUUGAAACGUCCAAAGUGCCACGAAACUUGUUCUAAUAUCUUCUCCAGUGACAUCAAGACUUUUUGACUUCAAUUAACUCUUCAGAUACUCGAUUAAUGGUUCAAUGGUGCUAGUGAAUACGAAUUUGUGUCUAGAAAAUUGCGUCUGUUUUUUAGUUAAUUCUUUUUCCUCUCUUUGAGAGAAAUAAAAGAAAAAAAAAUAGUGAGGAUUAUUUUUAUCUUCCAUGUAAAGAUGUUUGAUGUCUUAAAGUUUUGUAACAUUAACGUGCUGUGAAUCUAACACGUUCAGACGUUGGUAAGAAAAGUUUUACGAGUGAUCAAGGUGGUUUAAGUUAUAUAGAAAAAGGAUAUACCCUCAGGCAUUUUCCUUGAGCUUAAUUUGAAGCUCUCAACUCUUCCGUUCUUUCAAAGUGUACAGGUAGGAUGAAGACAUUAAAAAUUCCGCCUGUUAACAAAUUGAUGAGAUAUUUUGAGUGAAUUAAAAAUCUUUUAGUUUAAAAAAA